GCACCACCAGCUUGAACCGAGGGUCUGCAUUGAAGUGUGUAGAGUGUUGUAUGGUGCUGUGAGUAGGUGUGUGCACCCAGAAGAGCCUUGGGAUGGUGAAGUUCACAGUGGCAGUCUGGUGUCAGGGCACCUUUAUCCGUGGUGUCUCCUUCCUUUGCUCUGGGGACCCUCACAAUGGGCUUUGCUCCUUUGUCCCUAGUAAACUCAACACAGAAGAGUGGCUGCUCUUCAGCACAGAGGAGCAGGGAGGAAAGGAGGGCAAGCAGAAUGGGUUGGGCUAGAUUCUUCUGGUUUUCCUCUACUUACAGGAUAAGGUGGAGUCACGAUGGAGGUGGCCUCACUCCUCAUCGCUGAGACCAGUGGAUUAUUCUAGGCUGAAUUUAUCCUGGAGGCCAGAUCCCCACUACCGAGAUCCAGCGUGUGGACUGAGCUGCAAAGCCCUGAUUUCUAUUCAGUCUCCGGUGUGUGUUUCCCAGUGUGCUGUAGCACCAUAGGCCCAGCAGAGAUGUUCAGCAUGACAGAUUUCCUCCAGUCAUUUCUUUAGUGCACCCCAUGAAUUGGUAGGUAAAUGUUUUACAUUGU
rnacentral:sRNA from 1 species